UGUGGCCAUGCUGUUGUGUGCCAUCGCCAAAGAAGGAGAGGCAGAGGAGAAGGACGAGGACUCCAACACAAUUCGUCAUUUUUUCUAGCUUUUCUCAUUUUUUCAAAGAAGAAGGCGACGACGACGACGACAGUGAUGGCGUUUAUGGAUGGAAGGGAUGACUCUUGCCGUCUGGAACUUGUCGAUCCGAUUCGAAUCGAAAGGAAAGGCGGACGACGACAGCGGCAACGGGAAGCAGCAAUGCGGAAAAGAACAAUUCUCCGGGGGGAAUGAGUAUAUAUGGGAAGAACGAGCAGUAGAAGAAUGAGCGAAGAGAAGGACUGCUUCUUCUUCUUCGUCAUUUUCUUUGCUCCGCUCUCGUCAUUGCAAUGGCACAAAUACAUACACACACUUGCAUCCGUCCUUUCGUCUUUAGAAUAUAUCCUAAAACGAAACACUUGACAAUAUCAACGCUUUCUAGUUUUUCUCAAAAAAUUCGAAUCAUAGAAACGAACGGAUGAGUCGCGGCACGGCGAACGUCAGAAUAUUCGAGUGGUCGACGGAAAGCGAUUAUGAAGAGGAAAGAAAAACGACGACA
ensembl:ncRNA T04C9.7 ncRNA